UCCCUGGAAGACUAGUGGUUAGGCCACAGCGCGCUCACCCCUGUGGCGCAGGUUCGACUCCCGGCCAGGGAA
rnacentral:tRNA from 1 species